AUUGAACGCUGGCGGCGUGCCUAACACAUGCAAGUCGAGCGGUAACAGGUGUAGCAAUACAUGCUGACGAGCGGCGGACGGGUGAGUAACGCUUGGGAAUCUGCCUAUUAGUGGGGGACAACCCGGGGAAACUCGGGCUAAUACCGCAUACGCACUACGGUGGAAAGCCGGGGACCGCAAGGCCUGGCGCUAACAGAUGAGCCCAAGUCGGAUUAGCUAGUUGGUAGGGUAACGGCCUACCAAGGCGACGAUCCGUAACUGGUCUGAGAGGACGACCAGUCACACCGGAACUGAGACACGGUCCGGACUCCUACGGGAGGCAGCAGUGGGGAAUAUUGGACAAUGGGCGAAAGCCUGAUCCAGCGACGCCGCGUGGGUGAAGAAGGCCUGCGGGUUGUAAAGCCCUUUCAGUGGGGAAGAAAAGCCUCGAGCUAACACCUCGGGGUCUUGACGUAACCCAUAGAAGAAGCACCGGCUAACUCUGUGCCAGCAGCCGCUGU
rnacentral:rRNA from 1 species